rnacentral:rRNA from 1 species
AUUGAACGCUGGCGGCAGGCUUAACACAUGCAAGUCGAGCGGAGAUGAGGUGCUUGCACCUUAUCUUAGCGGCGGACGGGUGAGUAACGCUUAGGAAUCUGCCUAUUAGUGGGGGACAACAUUCCGAAAGGAAUGCUAAUACCGCAUACGUCCUACGGGAGAAAGCAGGGGAUCUUCGGACCUUGCGCUAAUAGAUGAGCCUAAGUCGGAUUAGCUAGUUGGUGGGGUAAAGGCCUACCAAGGCGACGAUCUGUAGCGGGUCUGAGAGGAUGAUCCGCCACACUGGGACUGAGACACGGCCCAGACUCCUACGGGAGGCAGCAGUGGGGAAUAUUGGACAUGGGGGGAACCCUGAUCCAGCCAUGCCGCGUGUGUGAAGAAGGCCUUAUGGUUGUAAAGCACUUUAAGCGAGGAGGAGGCUACUGAGACUAAUACUCUUGGAUAGUGGACGUUACUCGCAGAAUAAGCACCGGCUAACUCUGUGCCAGCAGCCGCGGUAA